rnacentral:rRNA from 1 species
GCUAAACGCGAAGAACCUUACCAAGGCUUGACAUAUACCGUUUAUCCCUAGAGAUAGGGAGUCCUUCGGGCGGUAUACAGGUGGUGCAUGGUUGUCGUCAGCUCGUGUCGUGAGAUGUUGGGUUAAGUCCCGCAACGAGCGCAACCCUCGUUCUAUGUUGCCAGCGCGUAAUGGCGGGGACGUCAUAGGAGACUGCCGGGUCGAACUCGGAGGAAGGUGGGAUGACGUCAAAUCAUCAUGCCCCUUAUGUCUUGGGCUUCACGCAUGCUACAAUGGCCGGUACAAAGGGCUGCAAUACCGCAAGGUGAGCGAAUCCCAAAAAGCCGUCUCAGUUCGGAUUGAGGUCUGCAACUCGACCUCAUGAAGUCGGAGUCGCUAGUAAUCGCAGAUCAGCAACGCUGCGGUGAAUACGU